UGCCUCGUUCCCUUCCACACCCCUCUUUGCGUACUUCCGUACUUUCCCCUAUAUUCGUCAACCGACAAGAAUGUGGAGAAUUUCAUUUCUCUGCACAAACACUGAAGGGACACCAAAUUCUGAUGGCGUUGACCUCAAGGGACCUGGUAACGGCGCAUGUACCCUUUUGUCCGUUACACCGCGGCAACAGCAUUUUUAUGAGGUGGCUUUGGUGGCGCCCCGAAGUAAAGUGACACGCCAAAUCAUCCCGCCAAUGAAAAAGAAAUUAAAUGCCUGAAGCUUUAAGUUAAAGCACCUCAGAUGUGGAAACUGCAUUUGUCAAGAAAAAAUUCUUUGGCAACUUGGGUGGCAUGGAUGCAGCACAGCUGUGCAUACUAUGCAUAGGAAAUGGCAGACAGAAAACUUCGAUCAAGUACUGUAUGAAAAUAGUUUAAUAGAAAUAACUGUAGCCAAAAAGCAAAUGGGUUGUAUGGGUCAGCAUUUCUGGUAUCCAAUGGACAAACAUGCUACUUGCUUAAGAUUUUAGAAGUAUUGUAAAGAAUUAUCCAGUCAUUUUAAAUUUUGUCAUCAGGUAACCAUUUAAUUUAAACAUUAUGCAAUGUGGUAGGUAGUAUCAGAGCAUCAAGUCACUUCAUGCUAAUUUAAUGUUGGCACUCUGAAAUACCAGUUUAUAAAAUGCAGCUUGCUGGAAAUAGUCUGCAGUUUAUUAUCUAUACAUAAAUUAAUACAGACAUCAUUUUCAAGUAAGUUUUCAUUACUGUGUAAAUUCUACUUUUACAUUUUUCAUUUGGCAAAACACACACUCAAAGACCUUUGUAAGAAGAAAUAUUUUGUCUGUCUUCAAAGAUGACACUAGACAUUUUACUUCUUUUGGUUGCCAAUUAUAAAUCUGAGAAAGUCUUUCAUGUCAGCAAUAUCAGACCUUAGAGACUGGACUUCUGAUAAUUGUGAACUCACAGACUGAAUUUGUGAUCUAAGGUACUGGACUUCUGCAAAAGUUCUGGCACAACAUCUACAAUCACAAGUCGAUUCUGUGGAAUGUCUAGAGGCGGCCAGUACCUCUGGAUAAUUCUCAUCAACAGUACUCAGAGAUGGCAAGUUUUCAGCAGCCUGGCCAGGAGGAAGACCUGAUACAAGUUUUUCAGCUGAAUCUUUCUGCUUUGAAUUUAUUAAAUUUAUUAAGCUGGAUGUUUCUUCUGCUUGCUUAUCUCUAGGAUGAUCUUUAAGUGAAGAUCUUUUUUUUGAUUGAAUGACUGGUAAUGGAGCCUUUGGCCUGUUAAGCACAAUCUUGGUGACUCCAUCUGAGGUUUUCACAUGUCCUGCCCUUCCUAGCUGCUGUGCACUUUGUACGUCAACCUGCUUUUCUUGGUUGGAUUUUUUAAUUCCGCCUGCCUCAUCAACCUUCUUCUUAUAAAAAUCUGGAUCGAUGUGUUGUACCAAAAGCUCAUGAUCAUUCUUCAAAAGUGCAUUCAUAAAUGCUAAAUACCAAUCUUGUUUUUUUCUAUGCAUGAACAGUAGCAUAAGGCGAAUGGCACAGCGUGUCUUGCCAGCAGCUAGUUGAGAAUCAAUAGCCUCAUAGUCCUCUUCAAAGAAAAGUUCCUUGAGAUGUGGUAGAAUAACAUCAAGCUUCAGCUUGUCUUCAAUAUUUUGGCUAAAUAUAUCUAUCAUUGCCUUUCGCUCUGUGUGCCAUGUGUCAUUUGGAGUUUCACCUUUAAGUGCCUUCACUAUAAGUUCAGAUCCCACCUGUAACAGUGUAGAUAAAAAAUGAACUGAAAGAUUAGUGAAAAUCAAUUAUAUAUAUAUAGUUAAAAAAAUGUACAUUUAAUUUUAGUAAGCCUGAGAAAAAAAUCUGAACCCAGGACACCUGAUCCUUAAUGUACUUGUAACAAGAGCUUAACCAUUGUGCUAUCUUUUGCCCAUAUUCUUUGAUUACUAGUAAGCAGAUUUAAAGGGAACCGAAAUACAAGAGUGUUUGCAUGUGUAUAAGCAUUAGUAACAUAGCAGACUG
rnacentral:lncRNA from 1 species